rnacentral:rRNA from 2 species
AGACCCGAAACCCGGUGAUCUAGCCAUGGGCAGGUUGAAGGUUGGGUAACACUAACUGGAGGACCGAACCGACUAAUGUUGAAAAAUUAGCGGAUGACCUGUGGCUGGGGGUGAAAGGCCAAUCAAACCGGGAGAUAGCUGGUUCUCCCCGAAAGCUAUUUAGGUAGCGCCUCGUGAAUUCAUCUCCGGGGGUAGAGCACUGUUUCGGCUAGGGGGCCAUCCCGGCUUACCAACCCGAUGCAAACUGCGAAUACCGGAGAAUGUUAUCACGGGAGACACACGGCGGGUGCUAACGUCCGUCGUGAAGAGGGAAACAACCCAGACCGCCAGCUAAGGUCCCAAAGUCAUGGUUAAGUGGGAAACGAUGUGGGAAGGCCCAGACAGCCAGGAUGUUGGCUUAGAAGCAGCCAUCAUUUAAAGAAAGCGUAAUAGCUCACUGGUCGAGUCGGCCUGCGCGGAAGAUGUAACGGGGCUAAACCAUGCACCGAAGCUGCGGCAGCGACACUCAGGUGUUGUUGGGUAGGGGAGCGUUCUGUAAGCCUGCGAAGGUGGCCUGUGAGGGUUGCUGGAGGUAUCAGAAGUGCGAAUGCUGACAUAAGUAACGAUAAAGCGGGUGAAAAGCCCG